rnacentral:rRNA from 1 species
UCAGGAUGAACGCUGGCGGCGUGCUUAACACAUGCAAGUCGAACGAAGAUGCCGGAGUGCUCGCACUUUGGCAGACUGAGUGGCGGACGGGUGAGUAACGCGUGGGUAACCUGCCUUAUACAGGGGGAUAACAGUUGGAAACGACUGCUAAUACCGCAUAAGCGCACGGUAUCGCAUGAUACAGUGUGAAAAACUCCGGUGGUAUAAGAUGGACCCGCGUCUGAUUAGCUUGUUGGUGAGGUAACGGCCCACCAAGGCGACGAUCAGUAGCCGGCUUGAGAGAGUGAACGGCCACAUUGGGACUGAGACACGGCCCAAACUCCUACGGGAGGCAGCAGUGGGGAAUAUUGCACAAUGGGGGAAACCCUGAUGCAGCGACGCCGCGUGAGUGAAGAAGUAUUUCGGUAUGUAAAGCUCUAUCAGCAGGGAAGAUAAUGACGGUACCUGACUAAGAAGCCCCGGCUAACUACGUG